rnacentral:tRNA from 1 species
CACUAAGAAGCUGAAUCGGAAACAGCGUUAGCCUUUUAAGCUAAAGACUGGUGGCUUCCAACCACCCUAAGUG